rnacentral:rRNA from 1 species
GACGAACGCUGGCGGCGUGCUUAACACAUGCAAGUCGUACGGUAAGGCCCUUUCGGGGGUACACGAGUGGCGAACGGGUGAGUAACACGUGAGUAACCUGCCCACAACUUUGGGAUAACGCUAGGAAACUGGUGCUAAUACUGGAUAUGUGCCCCUGCUGCAUGGUGGGGGUUGGAAAGCUCCGGCGGUUGUGGAUGGACUCGCGGCCUAUCAGCUUGUUGGUGGGGUAGUGGCCUACCAAGGCGGCGACGGGUAGCCGGCCUGAGAGGGUGACCGGCCACAUUGGGACUGAGAUACGGCCCAGACUCCUACGGGAGGCAGCAGUGGGGAAUAUUGCACAAUGGGCGCAAGCCUGAUGCAGCAACGCCGCGUGCGGGAUGACGGCCUUCGGGUUGUAAACCGCUUCCAGCAGGGACGAAGCUUUUUGUGACGGUACCUGCAGAAGAAGCACCGGCUAACUACGUG